ensembl:misc_RNA 7SK 7SK RNA
AGAUGUGAGGGUGAUCUGGUUGUAAGAUCUGUCACCUCACUGAUCACCAGGGAUGACUCAGCUGGUCUGGCUGUCUAGACAGAUGUCCCCUACCCCCCUCCCCAUCCGAGUGCUUCUCUCCCGAAGUUGUGCACCCGGUGUAAGAGAUCAACCUGCCGCGGUAGAGUACCACCGUUCUUCUGUCAAGGGUAUAAGAGUAGCUGCGGUCCCCCUGCUAGAAGUUCCAAACAUGAAGUUAAAGCUGGCUGAAUGAAAAACAUAAACCCUGAAUAUGAACAACAGAGGUACUGAGAAGU